GAUGAACGCUGGCGGCGUGCUUAACACAUGCAAGUCGAACGGAAAGGCUCCUGCUUGCAGGGGUACUCGAGUGGCGAACGGGUGAGUAACACGUGGGUGAUCUGCCCUGCACUUCGGGAUAAGCCUGGGAAACUGGGUCUAAUACCGGAUAGGACGAUGGUUUGGAUGCCAUUGUGGAAAGUUUUUCGGUGUGGGAUGAGCUCGCGGCCUAUCAGCUUGUUGGUGGGGUAAUGGCCUACCAAGGCGUCGACGGGUAGCCGGCCUGAGAGGGUGUACGGCCACAUUGGGACUGAGAUACGGCCCAGACUCCUACGGGAGGCAGCAGUGGGGAAUAUUGCACAAUGGGCGCAAGCCUGAUGCAGCGACGCCGCGUGGGGGAUGACGGCCUUCGGGUUGUAAACUCCUUUCGCUAGGGACGAAGCGCAGGUGACGGUACCUGGAGAAGAAGCACCGGCUAACUACGUG
rnacentral:rRNA from 1 species